rnacentral:rRNA from 1 species
AACGAACGCUGGCGGCAGGCUUAACACAUGCAAGUCGAACGCACCUUUCGGGGUGAGUGGCAGACGGGUGAGUAACGCGUGGGAAUCUACCCUUCUCUACGGGAUAGCUCCGGGAAACUGGAAUUAAUACCGUAUACGUCCUGAGGGAGAAAGAUUUAUCGGGGAAGGAUGAGCCCGCGUUGGAUUAGCUAGUUGGUGGGGUAAAGGCCUACCAAGGCGACGAUCCAUAGCUGGUCUAAGGGGAUGAUCAGCCACAUUGGGACUGAGACACGGCCCAAACUCCUACGGGAGGCAGCAGUGGGGAAUAUUGGACAAUGGGCGCAAGCCUGAUCCAGCCAUGCCGCGUGAGUGAUGAAGGCCCUAGGGUUGUAAAGCUCUUUCAGUGGGGACGAUAAUGACGGUACCCACAGAAGAAGCCCCGGCUAACUUCGUG